rnacentral:rRNA from 1 species
UACGUAGGGGGCAAGCGUUGUCCGGAAUCAUUGGGCGUAAAGCGCUCGUAGGUGGAUCGGUAAGUCUGCAAAGAAAGACCCGGGCUCAACUCGGGGAACGGUGUGGAUACUACCGAUCUUGAGGCAAUCAGAGGAUGAUGGAAUUCCCGGUGUAGCGGUGAAAUGCGUAGAUAUCGGAAGGAACACCAGUGGCGAAAGCGGCUUCCUGGUCCGACACCGACGUUCAGGCACGAAAGCGUGGGGAGCAAACAGG